CUGUAUGAUGUAACUUCCUGAACUUUCUAUUCUUUGAAGGCAGGCAGGAGCUAGUCGACAAACUUUCUUUCUUUUCUUUUUUUGAAAUCGAUCUACGUGCAGCAUACCUUUGACUUAAAUCUACAGGAUGACUCAACAGAAGGCAAGAGGUGAAAAUAAACUGGAAUCCUAUGAUAAAAUGUUACAUCAGCUCUAUUAUUCAGGUAAAGAUUAGAUACUCCUAUCUCUGUCAAAUCAACAGACUGACAACAGACAGUUCACAGAUAAAAGUAAUUAUCUAACCCACCUCCCCAAAUUAAAUUUAGAAUUAUAAAUGACUGAUUUCAUGUAGCAGAAUGAAUAAUUUCCUUUUAGACUGAUCAGGCAAGUGAGUUUUAUUAAAAAGAUGAUAAAUAUUCAAGGUGAUAAUUAUCUCCUUCUCUUUAUUGUCUCUUUUAUUUUUGGCAAGUACCAAUCCAAUCUGGGUCAAGCACUCAGGUUACUCUUUCAGAUAGUUUAAACUCCAAAUCAAAUGUCCCCCGGUGGCACAAAAACUUAAUGCUUAAUCCAAGACUAUCAAAGUUUUCUUAAAAGUAAUUAAAAGUUAUAAUUAAAGGUUGGCCUGAGAUAUUCACCCAGGAGAGGUGCUCAAAUUCAACUUUGUGACACCUUUUUGUUCUUCUGUGUGCUUGUGAAAACACACACACAUAUGCACACACUCAUACACACACAGAAGAGUUUUGCACAAACUAUGGAUAUCCAUCGAUUCUUUAAAUUUUAGAGAAGCCCUACAACCUCCACUCCCGACAACCAGCCAGUGGGAAUCACUUGCAACUAUUAUCACACAUUAUGCCUUCAGCAGUUUGCAUUGUGCACCGCAAUCCACUAGAUGGCGUAAAAGGCAACCAAAUAAGAUAUAGCUAUUUUGAUUAUUAGGCAAAUAAAAGUGAAUCCUGACAAAUCCAGGUACCUGAUUUGAUUUGCAAAUACAGUAUGACAAAUAAAUCCAUAACUUAAAAAACAACUAAUCUUCUGUAGUGAUAUCCACUACAAUAAGUUCCAGACACACCCACAUCCACUUUGUGAUCAUUUAUCAUGGCACUUACUCUGUGUCUAUAUUUUUGGUGUAGCAAAACAACACAUAAUUAUAUCUAAAUGAUUUAAAAUUGUCAAGUGCAGAGAUUAUGGGAUGGCUUCAGUAAUCUGCAAUUAAAUUCUAUGAGUGGGGAAAUUGACACAUAAAUUGGGAUACCUAAAUCAAUGAGUUUGAAUCAUGUCUUUUCUUUGCACAAUGUGUGUUCUGUACCCUUUCAGACAGCACUAGGUGUAAAAUAUCUGUCAGACCCUGCUGAAUUAUGCACCCCUCCCUGCAGGAGACCCCUACCAGGUGUCCCACUCUUCCUGCCCGCGGAUGCUGGUUGACAUUUAAGACUGGAUGGGGCUCAUGACAAAGUGAAACAGCUGGAGCUGCUGACUAAUAUCAACCUGUGGAGAGAGGAACAGGGAAGCUUGGGUCAACCACAUCAAACAGAGAUAUGCCACAGGAAAUCAUCCCGGGGAGAUCAUUUUUUUUUCUUUUCACCUGUAGAUGCUCAUGGAGGGACGACGUCGACAUGUACCUGUGUUUGUGUGUCUGUGUAUGAGAUUUGAAACGGGGUGUUGGUGGAAUUCAGGUUAAAUGGCAGAAGUAUUCAAACAUAUAGUAUAAGUUUUUUUUGAUCAGUUACUUCACUCUCCUGAGACCCACAGCCUUUAUCAUGACCAGGACUAUCAUCACAGACUAAAUAAAUACCACAGUCUCACUAUACUAAAUAUGAAAGUAUUAUAUUCCCAUCUAGCUUUGAUGCAAGUAUUAAUUUAAUUGAGUUUUCAUAUAAUCAAAUAAAAAGAAGAAAAUGAAGACCAGAACCAUGCUGCAAUUUGUAAUGAACACAGUGUGGUUUAAAAACAACAACACAUGAGCUAAAACUGUCUCACUUUUGAACAAUGAUCCAAUCGCCACGUUACCUUGAUAAAUAAGCCAUUUUUCUUUUAUAUUUCAUUUCACAAAGCAAACGUCAAUAGCAGAUUUGACAUUAUCGACCACUGUGUCACAGUAAGUGGCACUUCUACAGCCAGCAGGACAAAUUAGGCACGUGUCAGUUGCCAAUAACAGGGGACUGCUGACUUUACAUAAUGUCUCUGAUUAUGAUUGCACAUGAUCUUGUGAGAGAGUCAAUAAAUCUGUUUUCUGCAAUGAGUCAUUCGGUA